AACACAGAGACAAGAAGGAGUUUCUUUUCAAACCCUAAACCCAUCAAAAUUGCUCAAAAUCAAAGGGGAAAUCAAGCUAAGAAUUGGGGCUUUAACUAAAUUCGUGAUCACCUAAGCUAGGUGAUCACAAGUUUGACGCUUGACAAGCUAGGUGGAGGCUUGGAAAGGAAGCGGGUCGAACGAAUCAAGUGUGAAGGAAAAGCGUGUUUCGGAUGCAAGGUGAAUAUCAGGAGCACCCGGAUGAAGAUCAAGCGACGUAUAAGAACCGAACACAUGAAAAUGAAGCUUCCGCAAGUUGUUUCGUCGUUAUUUUAAACGAUGAACUCAAUCACAUUAUGUUGUAUUAUUUUAAAUUGUAAAAGUUUUAAUUUACCCGUAUAUUUCAACGUAUAUGUAAUCAUAAUUGCAUGUUAUUUUCGUAAAUUAUACGACAACCUUAAAAUAAUAGCAAGGGUUUUUUUAAAGUUGGU